AAAAUUACUAUAAAAUCUCAAAUAAAGGUAAUUAUUUAGGAACUUUGUCGAUUUCGAAAAUUUAAGGUUUGAAUGGUUAUGGCUGGGGCGAACAAAACCGUCAACGGAUCAGACCGAUUUUUAUUUAUCAUUCAUCAAUUAUACUCCGGAAUGGUCCGGACUAAAAAAAAAUAGAAGAAAACCGCUGCGGACCAUCUGCGGACCGUUUUUACAUACAAAUAAAUUUGGUCUGCAGCGGUUUAUUGUCCGUACCAAAAAUGAGAUGGACUAAACCGCAGACAAAUUAGACCGCUUUGUCCGCUGCCUCCAUUCAUAGUCUUAGGUUAUGUUUCUAAUCAUUAGAUAGCGCGUGAGCACACAUAUAUUCAUACAGCACGUGAACGUACAU
rnacentral:sRNA from 1 species